rnacentral:misc_RNA from 1 species
AAAAUGCGAUAAGUAAUGUGAAUUGCAGAAUUCAGUGAAUCAUCGAAUCUUUGAACGCACAUUGCGCCCGCCAGUAUUCUGGCGGGCAUGCCUGUCUGAGCGUCAUUUCAACCCUCGGACCCCGUUCGCGGGACCCGGCGUUGGGGAUCAGCCCGAAGCCCCCCGGGGCGGGCGGCUGGCCCCGAAAUCUAGUGGCGGUCCCCCCAGCGACCUCCUCUGCGCAGUAGUAACUCACCUCGCAGCUGGACAGCGGGAGGGCCACGCCGUAAAACCCCCAACUUCUCAAAGGUUGACCUCAGAUCAGGUAGGAAUACCCGCUGAACUUAAGC